GAGUUUGAUCCUGGCUCAGGAUGAACGCUAGCGGCAGGCUUAACACAUGCAAGUCGAGGGGUAACAGGAUUUAGUUUACUAGAUUGCUGACGACCGGCGCACGGGUGAGUAACGCGUAUACAAUUUGCCUUUUACUGGAGGAUAGCCAAGAGAAAUUUUGAUUAAUACUCCAUAGUAUUAUUUGAUCACCUGGUCGAAUAAUUAGAGCUCCGGCGGUAAAAGAUGAGUAUGCGUCCUAUUAGCUUGAUGGUAAGGUAACGGCUUACCAUGGCAACGAUAGGUAGGGGUCCUGAGAGGGAGAUCCCCCACACUGGUACUGAGACACGGACCAGACUCCUACGGGAGGCAGCAGUGAGGAAUAUUGGGCAAUGGAGGCAACUCUGACCCAGCCAUGCCGCGUGCAGGAAGACGGCCCUAUGGGUUGUAAACUGCUUUUAUACAGGAAGAAACUUAUCCACGUGUGGAUAACUGACGGUACUGUAAGAAUAAGGACCGGCUAACUCCGUGCCAGCAGCCGCGGUAAUACGGAGGGUCCAAGCGUUAUCCGGAAUCAUUGGGUUUAAAGGGUCCGUAGGCGGGCAAUUAAGUCAGAGGUGAAAUCCCACAGCUCAACUGUGGAACUGCCUUUGAUACUGGUUGUCUUGAGUUAUAGUGAAGUAGAUAGAAUAUGUAGUGUAGCGGUGAAAUGCAUAGAUAUUACAUAGAAUACCGAUUGCGAAGGCAGUCUACUAACUGUACACUGACGCUNAUGGACGAAAGCGUGGGGAGCGA
rnacentral:rRNA from 1 species